rnacentral:rRNA from 1 species
GACGAACGCUGGCGGCGUGCUUAACACAUGCAAGUCGAACGGAAAGGCCCCUUUUGGGGUACUCGAGUGGCGGACGGGUGAGUAACACGUACGUAACCUACCCUUGCCUUCGUGAUAACUUCAUUAAACUGGGUCUAAUACCGGAUAGGAAUCCUUGCUUCCUGGUGGGGGUUGGAAAGCUUCGGCGGGUUUGGAUGGAAUCGCGGCUUAUUAGUCUGUUGGUGGGGGAGUGGCUUACCAACGCUUUGACGGGUAGCCGGCCUGGGGGGGCGACCGGCCACAAUGGGACUGAGGAAAGGCCCAGACUCCCACGGGGAGGAAGAGUGGGGAAAAAUGGACAAAUGGCGGGAGGCCGAUGGAAGAAAGCCGCGGGCGGGAAGACGGCCUUCCGGUUGGAAAACGGCUUUCGCAGGUGCGAAACUGGUGGUGACGGUAACUGCAGAAGAAGCACCGGCUAACUACGUG